CAAGUGAGAGUUCACUUUUUUAGCAUUUAGCGCACAAAAGACAGAGGGACAGUGUAGACAGACGUAGACGAAGCG
rnacentral:lncRNA from 1 species